rnacentral:tRNA from 1 species
UCUGAUCUGAUCUUAUGAUGGUAAAGAAUCUGCCUGCAAUGUAGGAGACCAGGGUUCAAUCCCUGGGUUAGGA